rfam:Canis lupus familiaris chromosome 9, whole genome shotgun sequence.
GCCUGGGUGGCUCAGUGGUUGAGCAUCUGCCUUUAGUUCAGGGCAUGAUCCUGGAAUUCCGGGAUCGAGUCCCGCAUCAGGCU